rnacentral:tRNA from 1 species
GCAGUCGUGGCUGAACGGUUACGAUGUUCGCUUUGAAAGCAAAUGGUCGGAAUGGUCCUGGGUUCGAUUCCCAUCUGCUGCU